rnacentral:rRNA from 1 species
GAUGAACGCUGGCGGCGUGCCUAAUACAUGCAAGUCGAGCGAACAGAUGAGGAGCUUGCUCCUCUGACGUUAGCGGCGGACGGGUGAGUAACACGUGGAUAACCUACCUAUAAGACUGGGAUAACUUCGGGAAACCGGAGCUAAUACCGGAUAAUAUAUUGAACCGCAUGGUUCAAUAGUGAAAGACGGUUUUGCUGUCACUUAUAGAUGGAUCCGCGCCGCAUUAGCUAGUUGGUAAGGUAACGGCUUACCAAGGCGACGAUGCGUAGCCGACCUGAGAGGGUGAUCGGCCACACUGGAACUGAGACACGGUCCAGACUCCUACGGGAGGCUGCAGUAGGGAAUCUUCCGCAAUGGGCGAAAGCCUGACGGAGCAACGCCGCGUGAGUGAUGAAGGUCUUCGGAUCGUAAAACUCUGUUAUUAGGGAAGAACAAAUGUGUAAGUAACUAUGCACGUCUUGACGGUACCUAAUCAGAAAGCCACGGCUAACUACGUG